CAGAAUCCUGCAAGCAACCAAUCAAACGUUCAUUAACUUGAUGUCUACUGUAUCUACCCAUCUCUCUCUCUCAUCUCAGAAAGGAAUCCUUCUAUUAUAUAUUCUCGCAUGAGAGAAUUAGGAGUAACUCAAUAACAGAAUGAUCAGUUGACAAGCAAAAAACUUGAUUUUCUCGUUUACGCUACGCAAGAAAAAUUAAACAUUCAUUGACGAGCGUCGAUCGAUAAAUCUACAAAACGAUGACACGAUAAGAUUAUAUACUGCUACCUGCCAAGCUGUAAGACAUGGAGUGCAGAGAAGAUGUCCGCACGGUUCUAUCCUUACGUCCUUAUCGUGUUCGGCGCAGAUCUUACACAGCUGGAAUGUGCUUCCCAUCUCGCAGUACAACUCGUACUGUUCCGCCGUCACUUUUAUGUGCUCCUCCGGCGUUGGUUGCACCGCCCAUGUCAAGUCCGGAUUGAUAUUUCGGCCGUCAGGAUAUAAGUAGCUGGAAAUCGAAUCUUUGAAAUACGUAUUUGAUGUAUAAUCUUCAUUGCAGGUAGGAUCAGGUAAGCCGCCUGAUAUUCUGAAUGAUACAAGAUGUACUCACAAGCCUUCCCGGUAGCCAUCCAGCAACGCCUGGCACAGGCUCUUAUUGUGCGGUAUAGUUUGAAGAAUAUCACCGUCAGACGUGACAUAACCGAUUGCCCAUUGUCCCAGCCUCGUGCAACUUAAUCGAAACA